GAACACCCCAUUCUCUGUGGUUUCUAUUCUGCAGUGAAGGUGGGAACUUCCAUGGCAGAUUUUCACCUCAAUUCCAAGCCUGAAGCAGAACUCAGGGGCGUCAGGGCAUACAAAGCAAGGAGCAACUCGUGUCUCUCACCCCAAAUCCCACUUUCCAUCCCUGCCUCCAUCAAAGGCCCCAUUCCUGCAAGUCCAAGAGCAAAGGAAAGAGCAAGUCCAGCAGCAAAGAACCUUUUUCCCUCCCCUCUCUUUGCAGCAAAGGAACAGGUACCCAGAGAUAAUGGAACGCUGGAGGAUAUUAUGACCAUGAAACAUGAAGAAGAAGGGAAAGAAGUCAUUUCCAUUUAUAGUGUAAAGUAAACAUCGGAGAUAAUAAACUGGCCAAUGUAACCAGGCUGAGAAUUGGAAAUGGAACAGAAGAAGAAGAAGAGGGAUCCCAUUUUUAAAGGCUUAUUGGUUAUUUAUGUAGAUGCUGGAAGUUAUAAAAGGAAGAAAAACAAUCUUGUGAUAAAAGCUGCUUAUUGGAACUAAAUCUGAAUUCCCAUCCUGACUGCUCUGAGAUGAGGCUGUGGAAGUUCUGUCAAGUGCCUGUGCUAAAACUCCCCGGCCAUAAAAUGGGAAGAAUAUUUCUUUCUCUGCCCAACUUCCCCUCCUCUGCACAUUUCCAGUGGCACAAAGGCAACAGAUAUCUUCCACAAUGACAAAAUAAUGGCCCCUGGUCUUUGGAGAAGAGUUUUUCAUCUUUAUUUGCACUUCUAUGAAUUGCUCUUUAGUUUCUUUUAGAGAUUAACACACGAGAGUUUACUUCAGUUUGCUGUCACACUCUUUGGAGCAUUUUUAAACAUUCUCAAAUAAUUCCAGGAGGUUUAGGGAUGUGGCAUUGCUAAACUGGUUCCAGGUGAGAAUGGCACCAUGGCAAAUUGUCCUCCCUUCCUGUGGAAUGAGACUUCAAUAUGGAAAAGGGGUGAGGUUGGGUGAGGGGUUAAAAACAGCACAAAGCACUGCAGCUUUCCUUCUCCACUGAUUUUCUGUGUAAAGAUUUUCAAGUCCUAUAUUUGAUUUUGCUGCCCUGCUGUAUCAGUUUUCUGGGCCUGUUGGUGAUUUCCCCUUGAGCAGAUCCUCAACUCUCCUCAGAAAAAAAAGCCAAGUUCAUUUGUGUCACCCAACACCAGGCAAUUGCCAAGUUAGAGGAAUAAUGUUAUUUUAAUCAAACCACCAAACCAGAUUGAAGCCAACAGCUGUAACAAUGAAAGGAAGCUGAAAACCAUUAUCCAAUUUACCAGGCAUCAGUGAGCAGCUACAACUCCGAGCUGCACUCCUGCAGCUUGGCUUUAACUCCUGGUAAAGAAUUCACUGCUUCAUUGCUGAUGAUCCAAAAAGGGCAAAUUGCUUUGCUUUCCUUUAAAAAUCACAUGCUGGAAAAGGAAAUGAGGCAAGAAGUCAAAGGCAGCAUCUGAGUGACUCUUGCAGCAUCACUAAGGAACAUCCUGUAAAUCUGUUCCUCCUGAUGCCUUCUCAUUUAAACACAAAGCCCUGCUGAUGCUCCUUUUGCUCAGGCCCUUUGGAAAGGCUCAAGUUGCCAUGGCAAUCUGCAUCUCCAGGCAGCGCAGCCCACCGCAUCCCCACGGCAUUCCUGGCGAGCAGCAUGGCUCUGGGGCUUGGAAACACCUCCAGGGAUUAACUGGGCUCACUCUUUCAGAUGGUUUGUUGCUGCUCUCCCGGAUCAGCUGUGUGGAGAGGAACUGCUCCUGCUGUCCUUUUCUCUUGCCUGUACAUCCUGUCCCUGGGGAAGCUCAUUCAGCAGCACCAGCUCAGCUCUGCUGACAGCUUGCAGAUCUGCCUCUCCCCCUAAUGAAAAUUACAUCAGCUCCAACGAUUAAAUCUCUUUGGGGAUGGAAUUUUCAGAACUGGUUAUUGGCUUGGAAACAGAUUAGCAGAUAUUUGCCUGCCCAUCACCAUCCCUAGGUAUAAAUUUCUGACCCUUGCUUGAUAUCCAUGACUGGUGAGUGCUUAACAUGCAGCAUAACCCCACCUGUGACAGGAUUCAUGGCUUAAUCACCAGCACCCAGAAAUGUGGCCCAAUUCUCUUUUCAAAGAAUAUCUUGCUUGUCCUUCGUGCAUUCCAAGUGUACAGACUCCAGGAAAGGAAAAAGAGCACGUGAGGAUCCCCUACAUUUUGUCCAUGAAUUUGAACAAAUCUAAUCUCUUUCCUGUGCUAUUUCUCUUCCUAAACAAGGCUGACAUUUAUUUGCUUAAAUAUCCUUUCAGUUAACAGGUACCUGUCCAGUAUUUGAUCACAACUAUAAAUAAAAGAGGGGUAACAUA